GGCGAACGCUGGCGGCGUGCUUAACACAUGCAAGUCGAACGGAAAGGCCCUGCUUUUGUGGGGUGCUCGAGUGGCGAACGGGUGAGUAACACGUGAGUAACCUGCCCUUGACUUUGGGAUAACCUCAGGAAACUGGGGCUAAUACCGGAUAGGAGCUCCUGCUGCAUGGUGGGGGUUGGAAAGUUUCGGCGGUUGGGGAUGGACUCGCGGCUUAUCAGCUUGUUGGUGGGGUAGUGGCUUACCAAGGCUUUGACGGGUAGCCGGCCUGAGAGGGUGACCGGCCACAUUGGGACUGAGAUACGGCCCAGACUCCUACGGGAGGCAGCAGUGGGGAAUAUUGCACAAUGGGCGGAAGCCUGAUGCAGCAACGCCGCGUGCGGGAUGACGGCCUUCGGGUUGUAAACCGCUUUCGCCUGUGACGAAGCGUGAGUGACGGUAAUGGGUAAAGAAGCACCGGCUAACUACGUGCCAGCAGCCGCGGUGAUACGUAGGGUGCGAGCGUUGUCCGGAUUUAUUGGGCGUAAAGGGCUCGUAGGUGGUUGAUCGCGUCGGAAGUGUAAUCUUGGGGCUUAACCCUGAGCGUGCUUUCGAUACGGGUUGACUUGAGGAAGGUAGGGGAGAAUGGAAUUCCUGGUGGAGCGGUGGAAUGCGCAGAUAUCAGGAGGAACACCAGUGGCGAAGGCGGUUCUCUGGGCCUUUCCUGACGCUGAGGAGCGAAAGCGUGGGGAGCGAACAGGCUUAGAUACCCUGGUAGUCCACGCUGUAAACGGUGGGUACUAGGUGUGGGGUCCAUUCCACGGGUUCCGUGCCGUAGCUAACGCUUUAAGUACCCCGCCUGGGGAGUACGGCCGCAAGGCUAAAACUCAAAGGAAUUGACGGGGCCCCGCACAAGCGGCGGAGCACGCGGAUUAAUUCGAUGCAACGCGUAGAACCUUACCUGGGUUUGACAUGGAUCGGGAGUGCUCAGAGAUGGGUGUGCCUCUUUUGGGGUCGGUUCACAGGUGGUGCAUGGCUGUCGUCAGCUCGUGUCGUGGGAUGUUGGGUUAAGUCCCGCAACGAGCGCAACCCUUGUUCACUGUUGCCAGCACGUUAUGGUGGGGACUCAGUGGAGACCGCCGGGGUCAACUCGGAGGAAGGUGGGGAUGACGUCAAGUCAUCAUGCCCCUUAUGUCCAGGGCUUCACGCAUGCUACAAUGGCUGGUACAGGGAGUGGCGAGCCUGUGAGGGUGAGCGAAUCUCGGAAAGCCGGUCUCAGUUCGGAUUGGGGUCUGCAACUCGACCUCAUGAAGUCGGAGUCGCUAGUAAUCGCAGAUCAGCAACGCUGCGGUGAAUACGUUCCCGGGGCU
rnacentral:rRNA from 1 species